rnacentral:lncRNA from 1 species
CAGUCCACACCGGCUGCUGCCCUUGGUGGCCCUUGGUGGCCCUUGGUGGCCCUGGCAUUUCCUAAAGCUGUUUUUUCCCCUGCCAGAACCACGUGGGAGACUCUUACACAUGAACAAGUUUGCCAUGAGAUGCAGCCUUCCCCCCUCCUCCGUAGACUGAAGGUUACCCAGAAGAGACCUGGCCAGGAGCAGCCAGAGGAGAUGGUAUCUGAGGUCGAAAAGCAGAAAAACAAAACCUUAAAACCCUUGAACCGUGGGAGGCCAGAACCUAGGAGACUUCCCACAGGUGCUCAGAACAGGCCGGCCAGACUCCAGAGUCCCAGAGUUUAACUCCUUCUUUUGGACUAGAACCCACAACAGUGAAUACUUUGUGCUACACACAUGGCUUCUCUUGGGUUGUCUCUGGAGGCUCCCCUCAAAACGCUUCCUUUAUUGACCACACUUGGCAGAAAUUGUGAAAUGCUUGGGAAACAUGGGGAACCUGAAACAGUCUAUGGAGGUCACCUGAUGAGAAAUCGUCUAGCUCUCCAUCCACGCCAGGAUCUGCGCACAGUUGUGGAGACGGUCUGUCUACCCUGCUGGUUAUUCAUUAGCCAUAUACCCCAGUGAGGUUUUUUUUUAAGGCCAUGCGGAGGGUAGAGAUCCAAGUGGAUAAGGACCGGAACCUUUACUGACAGCUACCAAUUUGUAAGACAAAAGAAGGGAUGUUGGGAAAUCUUCCAGAUCUUCUGUCUCCCUCUCCAGGGUGUACGCUGGAGAUUUCACAGACUGGAUACCUGUCUCCUGUCCCUCCUGCCACCCUAGCUACUGCCUCCUGCCUCCGGCUACCUGCCUCCCACCUCCCGCCUCCCACCUCCUGCCUCUGAGUUUAAGGGCAGUGCCUGAGUUGGCACCAUUGGUGGUGGGCAUUGCAUUCAGGUUUUAUGAACAGGAUCCCACUUACUACAAAGUAAGUAUCACUGCCUACCUCCAUGAUAAAAAACAAGAACAAAAAAAAAGGUCCACACAGCGCAAAUAACCUGAGGUCCUACUGUUAAUUAGAACCAAAGUCCAGACCACAUUCAUCCUGGGACACAACAGGCUUCGUGAAACAUAAGAAAAUCUGGGAAUGGGGCCUGCCAUGCGCAAAGCCGGCCAUCUGCCCUCUAUGCCCUGCCUGCUUCCUGUGCUUUCUGCCCUUUGUGACUGAGAAGCAACCUUUCCUCAACACGUGGGACACAGGAGCUGAGGACGCACGACAGACACAGUGCGUGCCUCGUGGGGUUGGGAGAAGUGGACUCAGAUGGAAUGCUGGAAUUCAGGAUGAGCUGUCCAGCAGAUUCUCCUUGUAGGCUUUAAGUUCUUUCCCCACUCCUCCCUUCACUCCUCCCUCUAACCUUCCUUCCCUCCUCCCUCUAACCUUCCUUCCCUCCUCCCUUUCCCUCCACCCUUUCCCUCCUCCCUUUCCCUCCUCCCUUUCCCUCCUCCCUUCCCUCCUCUCUCCCCCUUCCUUCUCUCUCCCUUUCCCUCCUCCAUUCCCUCCUCCCUUUCAACCUUUCUUCCUUCUUAUCUCCCUCCUCCCUUUUCUCCUCCCAUCCCUCCUCCCUUCCCUCCUUUCUUCCUCCCCCCCCCCCCUUCCCGCCUAUCUACAUCAGACUGUUGGUGGACUUUCCAUAGGCUACAGGACUGUUGGUGGCCUGCCCAUAGGCUACAGAUCUGUCACAUCCUUCUGGGUGCUCUGAGCAGCUUCCAGACACUAGCAGCUGCACCUUUUUUGGGGGGGGGGUGUCUGGAACUCUUUCCAGAUGGUUCUGUGCACUCGGCAGCUAGAAAGUGGUGAAGAGUCCAUAGCAGCCUGCUCCUGCUCCCUCUCAAUGAGUAGCAGUUAGUGUAGUGUAUAAGUCCCUCUGUCUCUAUUCUAGAUGAAUAACUGUGCUACAUGUCACUUGCUUGAUUUUGCAGUGCUAAGGAUGGAUGUUAGGCGAGCACUCUACCAUCGGGCUGCGUCUCCGGCCACUGGUUUGGGUUUCUGGUUCUGUAAAGGGUUUCAGAAUGUACAUAGCCUAGGCUGGCUUCAGAUUCAUGAGACGCCUCCCUCUGCUUCCUGAGUGCUGGGAUUGAGGUUCCUAUUUUUCCUAUCCUUCCCUGGCUUUCCCAUUGGGUUAAACCCUGCCCUGCUGCUGUAGGGAUCCGCUUGCUAACCCACCACCUUUUGUUAAGGUUCCUGCCCGUGCCUAGUCACCCUGCUCCCUCAUUCUGCUUCCAACAGCACCUCCUGAGUCAAAGGCCCACGUCAAAGCUUCCAUGACGGAUCUGCUUUUGAAGAAACCCGAGUCAAGCAAAUUCUCUGCUCCGACAGUGGUUUGUCCUAUCCUGGUCCUGGAACCGGUGGUUCCUUCUACACUUCUGUGCUUGCAAAGCUACCAACCAGGACUUGGAAGCAUAGACUAGUUUGGGGCUUACAAGACUUUUUCUAAAUCCUUCCAGAAAUCUACUCGCCGCAGUCAACAUUACACUACCAUAUUGGAAAUGUGAACAGGCUCAGAACACCCACAGGCCCAGCCUCCCACUCUGAGACCUGCGGGGAAGGGGAAACUUCAGCAUAGACUGGGAUUAGAAGCCCCCGCAUUCAUCUUGUGAUCAAAGAAGAUCACCAGUCUCAAGCCCUGCGGGCAGCAGCGCAUCCUCCUCCUGAUCCAGCCUGCCGACAGUUUGCCCAACAUCACUUCCACGGGAUUCUUGUCAAAUGUAUCCCCUUCAUCUAACCAUGGGAAACAUCAAACCAGCUCAGACUGGAGAACUGUCUCCACAAAGGGGACCUCAACAGGAUGAAAGGCAAGGAAAGACGUCUCAUUAAGGGAAGAAGCCUAAAGAGCCCAGACAGUAAGAUGGAAAGCAGGAUUUUUGACAGGAAGACACAAAUGUGGCAUGGGUUCAGUAGGCAUUGACACUUUGACUCUGGGACUGAAUAAACCUACCACUGGCCAUGAGCAGGAUGCUUAUGUGGGCA